rnacentral:rRNA from 1 species
AUUGAACGCUGGCGGCAGGCCUAACACAUGCAAGUCGAACGAGUGGCGGACGGGUGAGUAAUGUCUGGGAAACUGCCUGAUGGAGGGGGAUAACUACUGGAAACGGUAGCUAAUACCGCAUACCAUCAGAUGUGCCCAGAUGGGAUUAGCUGGUUGGUGGGGUAACGGCUCACUAAGGCGACGGUCCCUAGCUGGUCUGAGAGGAUGACCGGCCACACGGGAACUGAGAGACGGACCAGACUCCUACGCGAGGCAGCGGGGGGGAAUUGUGCGAAAUGGGCGCAAGCCUGAUGGAGUCAUGCCGCGUGUAUGAAGAAGGCCUUCGGGUUGUAGAGUACUUUCAGCGGGGAGGCGUUACCCGCAGAAGAAGCACCGGCUAACUCCGUGCCAGCAGCCGCGGUAAUAC